CAACCUGCCCACCACUUGGGGAUAACCUUGCGAAAGUAAGACUAAUACCCAAUGAUAUCUCUAGAAGACAUCUGAAAGAGAUUAAAGAUUUAUCGGUGAUGGAUGGGGAUGCGUCUGAUUAGCUUGUUGGCGGGGUAACGGCCCACCAAGGCAACGAUCAGUAGGGGUUCUGAGAGGAAGGUCCCCCACAUUGGAACUGAGACACGGUCCAAACUCCUACGGGAGGCAGCAGUGAGGAAUAUUGGUCAAUGGACGAGAGUCUGAACCAGCCAAGUAGCGUGCAGGAAGACGGCCCUAUGGGUUGUAAACUGCCUUUAUAAGGGAAUAAAGUGAGAGUCGUGACUCUUUUUGCAUGUACCUUAUGAAUAAGGACCGGCUAAUUCCGUGCCAGCAGCCGCGGUAAUACGGAAGGUCCGGGCGUUAUCCGGAUUUAUUGGGUUUAAAGGGAGCGUAGGCCGGAGAUUAAGCGUGUUGUGAAAUGUAGAUGCUCAACAUCUGCACUGCAGCGCGAACUGGUUUCCUUGAGUACGCACAAAGUGGGCGGAAUUCGUGGUGUAGCGGUGAAAUGCUUAGAUAUCACGAAGAACUCCGAUUG
rnacentral:rRNA from 1 species